AUGCAAGUCGAACGAGAGCUACAGGAGGAAGUUUUCGGACGGAAUCCGGUAGAUCGAGUGGCGGACGGGUGAGUAACGCGUGGGGAACCUGCCUCAUACAGGGGGAUAACAGUUGGAAACGACUGUUAAUACCGCAUAAGACCACAGAGUCGCAUGACUCAGGGGUAAAAACUCCGGUGGUAUGAGAUGGACCCGCGUUCGAUUAGCCAGUUGGCGGGGUAACGGCCCACCAAAGCGACGAUCGAUAGCCGAUUUGAGAGAAUGACCGGCCACAUUGGGACUGAGACACGGCCCAAACUCCUACGGGAGGCAGCAGUGGGGAAUAUUGCACAAUGGGGGGAACCCUGAUGCAGCGACGCCGCGUGAGUGAAGAAGUAUUUCGGUAUGUAAAGCUCUAUCAGCAGGGAAGAAGAUGACGGUACCUGAGUAAGAAGCCCCGGCUAACUACGUGCCAGCAGCCGCGGUAAUACGUAGGGGGCAAGCGUUAUCCGGAUUUACUGGGUGUAAAGGGAGCGCAGACGGCUAUGCAAGUCUGAAGUGAAAGCCCGGGGCUCAACCCCGGGACUGCUUUGGAAACUGUGUAGCUAGAGUGUCGGAGAGGUAAGCAGAAUUCCCAGUGUAGCGGUGAAAUGCGUAGAUAUUGGGAAGAAUACCGGUGGCGAAGGCGGCUUACUGGA
rnacentral:rRNA from 1 species